GGGGGAGUUCCUCAGCCGGGAUUGUGAGAGGGCACAGGCCAGGCUGAGGGAUCCCACCAGUGCACG
rnacentral:pre_miRNA from 1 species